UUCAAUAUCAUUUUUAUUGAGACGAAACAGCAAGGCUAUUAUUAGUUGUGUGGCUUAAAUAGCAAGGCUAUUUAAGUCACACAACUAUGGAACAAUGAUUAUAAAACUGUUAAAGAAAUGUUACUCUGAAUAAAAAGAUUUUUUAAUGUUGUUACAUUUAUGUAUCUUGGAUACAUUCAUGUAUUUUGGAUACCCUCAUGUAUCUUGGAUACAUUUAUGUAUCUUGGAUACAUUCAUGAAUCUUGGAUACAUUCAUGAAUCUUGGAUACAUUCAUGUAUCUUGGAUACAAUCAUGUAUCUUGUUAAUACAUAAAUGUAUCCGUGUAUCUAUUUUUUAUCUAUGAUUUUAUUCUUUGUUUAGAAUUUCAAUACACUUUGCUUUAAAUUUGCAGAAAAAUUUUCAGAGGAUUUAAGAUUUGCAAGCCCGAACCCUUGAUAGGCUUAGAAACAUCAAACAAAUUGGAGAUGUUGAUUUUAUUUUGAUUGAUGCAAUGUAGAAAAAAAACAACCCAAUAAGUUCAUUUGAGAGAUUCAAUAUUAUUGAAAAUAUUUUAAAAACAAAUUCAAAUCCAAGAAAAUGCAAGGUAACUUCUAAUGUUCACUCACUUUGACAAUAAAAGUCUAUAUUCCAAUUUUUAUUAUUGCUGAAGAAUGAUACCUAGGUGUGUAAAAAUUUGGUGAAAAUAAUAAUAAUUUUUUGAUAAUAGUAUUAGAUGUGGUGUUGGAAGGCUCUUGCUUUUUAAACAAGAAAAUCCAAAUUUGAUACCCACCACGUCUCUUAAAGUACCGCGCUCAACUUAAUUCUAACCACAGUGGUCUUGUAUAUAUAUAUUAGUAUUUAUAUAAACUUGUAAAAAAUAAUUUGCUCACAAUAUGUUGUGACUCUCUAUGGUAUUUAAAAAUGGUUCAAUAUUUAAUCAUGCUUUUAGUUUAUUUAAUAAUUUUUAAAAUUACUCAAAUGAGAGGAGUGGGAGGAGCAACUCCACAGAAAACAGUUAUUAAUGUUUUGAAUGCUAUCAUGGUAUACUGGCUUUGUUUAGCGAGGAUGGAAGAAAAGGAAAUCUACGAGCACUCCUUAUUAUAAAUGCAUAAAAGAUACUAUUUUUGGUGACAAAAUUGCUUAUGAUGCAAUCAACAUCGAGGGUGCCAUUGGCGACAUAUUAAAAUGAGCCAAAAAAUAAUGUUUUUUCUAGAUUGUAUUUAUAUAUUAAUAUUGUCAAAAAUAUUACUAUUUUUA